rnacentral:lncRNA from 1 species
GGCGGUGGCCGGGCAGGCGGAGGUGUUCAAGGCGAGGUGCCCCGACACGCGCACGACGCCGACGGACGUGGAGGCGACGCCGCAGCGGGGCCUGGAGCCCGGCGAGCUCAAGGUCGUCUUCUGCCCGACGGCCGGAGACCACCUCGAUCUUGGACUCACUAACUAAUAUACUCCACUCAACUACGUUACUAAUCCUAAUGAUUAGUGGCAAAUUAAUCAUAAAUUAGAUAGGGCAUGCAAUUAACGCAAGUAGAGGAUGCGUCAUGCGUGCGUCGUGAUUGCAUUCAAGGUGCAUGGCGCGUCUCUCUUCAUCGGUUAGCCACAUAUAUUUAUUACUGUUAGAAAGGAAUGCAUGCUGUAGUUGUGAUCGUAUGAAUGAAUAAUAUAGUAUGUAUUUUUCAUCCUCCAAAUCAAAAUUAUUUGAACCACCCAUGUUUCUCACAAAUUUACAAAAUUUAUAAGGUUAAUCAAUGGCUGAGGAUUGAAACGUCUCUCUCGAUCAGUGCCCUGCUUAAUUGGUACUUAAGCAACAUGUAUGCAUAUAGUAUUUAUCACCAUUGCCGUCAGGGCUCUGAUACCACAUAUGCAUGCUUCAGUUCCCUUCAUCUUCAUUUCGACGUGCUGUCAUUUUCCUUAAUGUUCCUCCCUAUUAACGUUUCAGUUAAUAGCGCUAAAUAG